rnacentral:rRNA from 1 species
UAUGGUAUGCCAGCAGCCGCGGUAAAACGUAGGUCACAAGCGUUGUCCGGAAUUACUGGGUGUAAAGGGAGCGCAGGCGGGAAGACAAGUUGGAAGUGAAAUCUAUGGGCUCAACCCAUAAACUGCUUUCAAAACUGUUUUUCUUGAGUAGUGCAGAGGUAGGCGGAAUUCCCGGUGUAGCGGUGGAAUGCGUAGAUAUCGGGAGGAACACCAGUGGCGAAGGCGGCCUACUGGGCACCAACUGACGCUGAGGCUCGAAAGUGUGGGUAGCAAACAGG